rnacentral:rRNA from 1 species
UACGUAGGUGGCAAGCGUUGUCCGGAUUUAUUGGGUUUAAAGGGUGCGUAGGCGGUUCUUUAAGUCAGUUGUGAAAUACGGCAGCUCAACUGUCGAGGUGCAAUUGAUACUGGGGAACUAGAGUACUGAUGAGGUAUGCGGAAUGGACGGAGUAGCGGUGAAAUGCUUAGAUAUCGUCCAGAACACCGAUAGCGAAGGCAGCAUACUAAGGAGUAACUGACGCUGAGGCACGAAAGUGUGGGGAUCAAACAGG